ensembl:snRNA U1 U1 spliceosomal RNA
AUACUUAACUGGCAGGGGAGAUACCAUGAUCAUGAAGGUGGUUUUCCCAGGGCGAGGCUUAUCCAUUGCACUCUGUCGUGCUAAUCCCUGCGAUUUCCCCAAAUGUGGGAAACUUGACUGCAUAAUUUAUGGUAGUAGGGGACUGCAUUCGCACUUUCCCUUG